UCCUUUGCCUGGCACCUUGUUCUGAGAGUAACUGAAUUGAGAACAAGGAGGCAUGCAAAGGAU
rnacentral:pre_miRNA from 1 species